AGAAUAUAUUAUUUAAAGAGCAAAUUGAUCGGUUGAAAGAACAGGAGAAGUACCUAAGGAAGGAGAACACAGAAUUGAGAAAACAGUGUGAAAUGCUGCCGCUUCAACUGUCGAUUAUUCCAACGGCGCAAACACCGGCUCAAGCUGAGGAGGUGGAAACCGCUUUGUUCAUAUGAUUUUCCGAAAGUCGAAUAAAGAAAGAUGAACGUAACUAAUUUAAUCUGCAAUAUAUAUAAAUGCUCGUAUUCUUCAGCUUGUUACAUGUAUAUUUCGAUCGAUUUCGAGUUCAGAUGAGUGUGUGUUUGUUUGCAACCUUGAAAAAGAAAUUUGCGAUUAUUCAUCUAUUUGUAUUAGACAUGAUGCAAGUAUAGAAGGAAAGA